UGGGGAAUAUUGCACAAUGGGCGAAAGCCUGAUGCAGCAACGCCGCGUGAGUGAUGAAGGUCUUCGGAUUGUAAAGCUCUGUCUUUUGGGACGAUAAUGACGGCACCAAAGGAGGAAGCCACGGCUAACUACGUGCCAGCAGCCGCGGUAAUACGUAGGUGGCGAGCGUUGUCCGGAUUUACUGGGCGUAAAGGGUGCGUAGGCGGAUGUUUAAGUGAGAUGUGAAAUACCCGGGCUUAACUUGGGUGCUGCAUUUCAAACUGGAUAUCUAGAGUGCAGGAGAGGAGAAUGGAAUUCCUAGUGUAGCGGUGAAAUGCGUAGAGAUUAGGAAGAACACCAGUGGCGAAGGCGAUUCUCUGGACUGUAACUGACGCUGAGGCACGAAAGCGUGGGUAGCAAACAGGAUUAGAUACCCUGGUAGUCCACGCCGUAAACGAUGAGUACUAGGUGUAGGAGGUAUCGACCCCUUCUGUGCCGCAGUAAACACAUUAAGUACUCCGCCUGGGAAGUACGAUCGCA
rnacentral:rRNA from 1 species